CAGUAGCCGCGGGAAUACGAAGGGUGCAAGCGUUACUCGGAAUUACUAGGCGUAAAGCGUGCGUAGGUGGUGGUUUAAGUCCGUUGUGAAAGCCCUGGGCUCAACCUGGGAAUUGCAGUGGAUACUGGGUCACUAGAGUGUGGUAGAGGAUAGUGGAAUUUCCGGUGUAGCAGUGAAAUGCGUAGAGAUCGGAAGGAACAUCUGUGGCGAAGGCGGCUAUCUGGGCCAACACUGACACUGAGGCACGAAAGCGUGGGGAGCAAACAGGAUUAGAUACCCCGGUAGUCCCUGUCUCUUAUAC
rnacentral:rRNA from 1 species